rnacentral:lncRNA from 1 species
AGGACAGAACUUUUAGAAGGUUAAAGUUAAGGGAUGAUCAACCCUAGCAGGAUCUUCACCUGGAACUGCUAGUUCUUCUGCAAUUCCCCACUCUGCUGCUCCAUCUGUACCACUCUUCACUUACAAAUGUCACCUACUCCUGGGGUGAAUGAACACUGCUGGACUAAUAUGGCCAAUCUCAAGGGCCACUCCCAGGUUGCCAUUUUCCUCUGGUGGCAUCUCUAGGACCACAGACUUCUUCAGUGCUUUUAGAAGCUUACAGUCACCUGCCUGUGGUGAGGCUGCCAGCUUUAAUCAUUCACCUUCUCCUGUGCAAAGACAGCGAGGAGAAAAACGCUGCUCAGCAAGGCUGAGAGGGCAUGAAAUUGUGUUAAGCAACAUUCAUGACAAUAACUGGA